CCUACGGGUGGCUGCAGUGGGGAAUAUUGGACAAUGGGCGCAAGCCUGAUCCAGCCAUGCCGCGUGAGUGAUGAAGGCCCUAGGGUUGUAAAGCUCUUUUGCCAGAGACGAUAAUGACAGUACCUGGAUAAGAAGCGCCGGCUAACUUCGUGCCAGCAGCCGCGGUAAUACGAAGGGGGCUAGCGCUGUUCGGAAUCACUGGGCGUAAAGCGCACGUAGGCGGAUUUUUAAGUCAGGGGUGAAAUCCCGAGGCUCAACCUCGGAACGGCCUUUGAUACUGGGAGUCUAGAGUCCGGGAGAGGUGAGUGGAACUGCGAGUGUAGAGGUGAAAUUCGUAGAUAUUCGCAAGAACACCAGUGGCGAAGGCGGCUCACUGGCCCGGAACUGACGCUGAGGUGCGAAAGCGUGGGGAGCAAACAGGAUUAGAUACCCCAGUAGUC
rnacentral:rRNA from 1 species